rnacentral:rRNA from 1 species
UACGUAGGAGGCGAGCGUUGUCCGGAAUCACUGGGCGUAAAGCGCGUGUAGGCGGCACGGUAAGUCUGCCGUGAAAUCUCGAGGCUCAACCUCGAGACGUCGGUUGAAACCGUCUGGCUAGAGUCCGGAAGAGGAGAGUGGAAUUCCCGGUGUAGCGGUGAAAUGCGCAGAUAUCGGGAAGAACACCCGUGGCGAAGGCGGCUCUCUGGGACGGUACUGACGCUGAGACGCGAAAGCGUGGGGAGCGAACAGG